rnacentral:rRNA from 1 species
GGUGGAGCGAUUUGUCUGGUUAAUUCCGAUAACGAACGAGACUCUAGCCUGCUAAAUAGGCAACGGACUUAUGUCCGUUGAACUUCUUAGAGGGACAAGCAGCUUCUAGCUGCACGAGAUUGAGCAAUAACAGGUCUGUGAUGCCCUUAGAUGUCCGGGGCUGCACGCGCGCUACACUGAAGGAUUCAACAUGCUUCUCUACCUUACCCGGAAGGGUUAGGUAACCCGUUGAAACUCCUUCGUGAUAGGAAUAGGGAAUUGCAAUUAUUUCCCUUGAACGAGGAAUUCCUAGUAAGUGCGGGUCAUCAGCUCGCGCUGAUUACGUCCCUGCCCUUUGUAC